rnacentral:tRNA from 4 species
AGCAAGGUGGCGCAGUGGAAGCGCGGUACGUGUUUGUCAAACCCGGAGGACGACGGAUCGAAACUGUCUCUUGCUA